CAAAAGAUCACAGUGAUUGAGGUGCAGCAUAAGGAAUCAGGCUCUUCAUCAGGGCCAGCCCAAGAAGUUUUGCUUCCAUUGACGAAGGCCAAGAUGACACCCUCUCGACUUCGUGUUUCAGAGCCAACUCGACUGGUAGCUAAACCUUAUUUCAGCACUGCUGACAGAACAGCAUCUUCUGGGCAGCAGCUAGCCCAUCAAGUCCAGCAUCCUUCUCAACAGCAACAUCACUCUUCCCUCCAGGGUUUCCAGCACUGCCUCUGACAGAAAUGUUUAGUAGCUAGAGAUAGUCUUAUCCUUCAUGAAUUUGCGACUUUAAAAUCCUCUUUUUGUGGGGAUGAUUAGGGAGGCAGGAGAGGAUAUAUUAUUUAAUGAUAUCCUUCCUAACUUGUGCUAGCAAGUUCCAUAUUCUAGCAGAGUUCCAAACAUCCCCCCCUUUUAAAUUACGCAGCGAGCAGCUUGUUGCUGACUCAU